rnacentral:ncRNA from 1 species
AUCAGGGCAAACCCGGCGAAAGCCGGCGACGCAAAACUAUAGGGCCUUACCUUCCCCGGGUUGGCAGCCAGUUGCC